rnacentral:sRNA from 4 species
AUGUACCACUCCACACACUCGGCUUCCUGCGCACCGUCCACGCCGACCUGACAACUGCUCGCCACAUUUUGAUCGCC